ensembl:snoRNA small nucleolar RNA SNORD35
UGCAAAUGAUGUUUUUAAUCACGAUGGUCUUCCAAACCUUCUGGGUUCUGAGGAUAGUGCCUGAUGGCAAUGCUGAUGCAGUGAG